GGAACAGUAAGAGAACCAGGGAGAUUAUGAUGAUGAUGAUGAUGAUAUAGGGUAUAGAGGAAGCUGUUGCAUGAUAGCUGAUAAUAUGAUUAGGUCAUGAUGAUCUGCUGCUGGAUAAAUGGGGAUUGAUAUCAACGUGGAUCGGAAAUUUUUCUUCUGGUUUUUUUCUUCUCUUUUACCUUUGAGAGAGAAAAAGGAGAAGGGAGAAAAGGGUGGUAGCUGCCGCUGAAUCCUAUAUGCAAAACUGCAUGAGAGAGAGAGAGAGAGAGAGAGAGAGAGAGAGGCCAGUUUGGCAGGGGCAGUGUGGUCUGCUAACUUUUAUUGCUCUCUUUGUCCUCUUUCACCUCUCUCCUCUCCAUCCUCCCCUUUUUAUCCCCCCCUCCCUCCUUCCUUUUCCUUCUCACUGCCUCUCAUACCCAUCUCUCUCUCUCUCUCUCUCUCACCAUCUUCAAGACUCUCGUGCCCAUAGUUCUCUCUCUCUCUCUCUAUCUCUGAGGGCUUCGUGUGUUUUCAGGGUUUGGAGGGAGAUCAGAAAGGAAGCCUUCUUGUUUUGAGGGGAAUGUUGUCUGGCUCGAGGCCACCAUCCUCAGAUCACCGAUCUUCAUCUCGAAAGAUCCACUAAGACCCAUCAUUUAUUUGUGUUUUUAAGUUGUGGGUUGGGAUCACAUCAGACCCAUUUGAGAUGAUCAUGUGAUUGGUCGAUUCAGAUCAUGAGCUUGACGACCUCGGACCAGGCUUCAUUCCCCCCAAUUAUCGCUUCCCCCCCUCCCUGCCGAUCUCCUUCACUGUGUUAUGGAUCGAUCUUGAGGUUUGACUCUCUCGUAUGAAAUGCGCGACUUGAAGAAGGACUAGAUAACCGGUAAUUUGCACUAAUAAUACCUGGUGUUAAUGCAAAAGGAAAAAAAGAGGUCUUAUGGUUGCUUCCAUUAUAUAUGCAUAAGUGACUGCUUGUAAGCAUUUGAUUGUGUUUUUGUAAGAACAUCAUGGUUCCCGACCUUGUAUUUGAUGAGAGAUACUUGCGAAACUAGCUUUGAGAAGCUUGGCCUUCACACUUCUCGAAUAUUUUGUUGAGGAAAAAAAGUGGAAGGAAUAUAAUCAUUCAGAGAAGAGAGAAGAUGCUGCUGAGUGCAUAUGGAAGCUGUGUUGGUGAAGCAACCCCAGCUGUGCGUGAGAGCAAAAAUGUGCUCAUUAGAGUAUUCGCGAGAAUUGGCGACGAUGCCAUUAAAGCGUAUUCGAGAAGCAGAACCCACUUAGUAAUUAGCAAAGUGUUGUUUGUUGCCUCUGGUUUUGUAUCUUGAAAUGUCGCAGAGCUUAUUAUGCGAGGUUAACAAGAAGGCAUUACCAAAUACCAAGUGUAUGUAUCUUUGAUGCUUUGGGAGUAAUGGGUCGUUGCUUCACAUAUUGUAAAGAAACAAAAAACAAGGAGAGAGAGAGAGAGAGAGAGAGAUGUGAUAGAUGGGACCUCUGAUUUUGCGAGACCUUAUGGUCUUGUCAUGUACAAGAGGGAAGGUUGCAGUAUUCCCUUUGAAACUUGAGGAAAAAAUUUUGAAAUCGUUCCAACCA